AUGCGGGCGGGGGGCGGGGAUAGGGGCGGGGAUGCAUGGGGCGGGGCCGCGGGGUGUGGCUUCGGGGGCCGCACCCGCCCCGCCCGUUGGAAUGCCCCCGUUAGCCCCCCGCCCCAGCUGUUUUGCCUUGACCCCCACCUCCGGCUCCCGGGAGGGUCGUUGGGCCUGGAAGGGGGCAAGGAUGCCCCCAAACCUCACGGUCUCACAGCAGCACUGCAGGAAACGCUGCAGCGAGGAGAGGCUGCCGGAGCGAGGAAAGGGAGAGCAGUGUCUGGCGCUGGACCGCUUGGCCUCCAGCGGGCACGCCAUACAAGAGACCUCCCCUCCCCAAGGCCUCUGCAGGGGGUGGGGUGGCUCUCCCUCCCUGAGUCACGUGGGCUUCGCCGGGUCCCGCAGCUCCCGCCGCUCCGCCCUCACCCCCUCCCGGAACCCGGGCUCCAGCGCCCGCGGUUCCCCGGCCGCACCCCGGCAGGCCGCCCCGGCAGCAGCGGGAAAGGGCCCGAUCCUGAGAGCGGCUGCCGGAAGGGCCCGGACCCUAAGCCGCCCCCCAAAUCCCCCUCCUCCGUCCCGCUCUGCACGGCCCUGGCCUGCGCACCUGCGCCCGCAGGUCCCCACCGCCUCCCUCCCUCUGCGCGUUCCACCGGGAGGAAACGGGGCAGUGGGCCAGGAGGCCGCCCAGCACUCCAGGAGCAAGCAGCCUUGGAAGGGCCCGGGCAUGCCAAUGGGCACUGGCACGGGGCGCCGUGUGAUGCGUGCAGAGACAGAGAGUGUCUGCCUGACCCACCCUGCCGGCCACCUGGGGCACUCGAGGUUUCCUCUCCUGUUGGAGUGGCCCCUGAGCCCAGUGUGACCCAGGAGGCCACCAGGCAGGGUCACGGGGGCUCUUCCAGACCCGCAGGGACCUGCUCAGGGGUUCCAACAAGGCUUGGCAGGGUCUGGGUGGGCUUCAGUGUCGUGAUAGUGCAGAGGGGGCCCCUGAGGAUGGGGGGGGCAGAGGGCUGA
rnacentral:lncRNA from 1 species